AGCAGCCGCGGUAAUUCCAGCUCCAAUAGCGUAUAUUAAAGUUGUUGCAGUUAAAAAGCUCGUAGUUGAACUUCAGGCCUGUCCAGAUGGUCCGCCUUAAUUGGUGUGUACUGUCCUUGGGUGGUCCUACCUUCUGGCGAAGUGGCAUGGCCUUAGUUGGUUGUGUCGGGGAAGCAGGACUUUUACUGUGAAAAAUUGAGUGUUCAAAGCAGGCAUAUAUGCUCGAAUACAUUAGCAUGGAAUAAUGGAAUAGGACGAUGGUUCUAUUUUGUUGGUUCUAGGACCGUUGUAAUGAUUAAUAGGGAUAGUUGGGGGCAUUAGUAUUCAAUUGUCAGAGGUGAAAUUCUUGGAUUUAUUGAAGACUAACUACUGCGAAAGCAUUUUGCCAAGGAUGUUUUCAUUAAUCAAGAACGAAAGUUAGGGGAUCGAAGACGAUCAGAUACCGUGUAGUCUUAACCAUAAACUAUGCCCGAUAGGAAUCGGGCAUGUUGACAAA
rnacentral:misc_RNA from 1 species